UACGAGGGGGGCGAGCGUUGUUCGGAAUUACUGGGCGUAAAGCGUGCGCAGGCGGUUUUGUAAGUCUGUCGUGAAAUCCCCGGGCUUAACCUGGGAAUUGCGAUGGAGACUGCAAGGCUAGAAUCUGGCAGAGGGGGGUAGAAUUCCACGUGUAGCAGUGAAAUGCGUAGAGAUGUGGAGGAACACCGAUGGCGAAGGCAGCCCCCUGGGUCAAGAUUGACGCUCAUGCACGAAAGCGUGGGGAGCAAACAGG
rnacentral:rRNA from 1 species